rnacentral:rRNA from 2 species
GCUGGAGCAGGUCCCAAGGGUACGGCUGUUCGCCGUUUAAAGAGGUACGUGAGCUGGGUUUAGAACGUCGUGAGACAGUUCGGUCCCUAUCUGCCGUGGGUGUAGGAUACUUGAGAGGAGUUGCCCCUAGUACGAGAGGACCGGGGUGAACGAUCCACUGGUGGACCUGUUGUGGCGCCAGCCGCAGUGCAGGGUAGCUAUGAUCGGAAAGGAUAACCGCUGAAGGCAUCUAAGCGGGAAGCCCCCCUCAAAACAAGGUAUCCCUGAGGACCGAGGUAGACCACCUCGUCGAUAGGCCGGAGAUGUAAGCGCAGCAAUGCGUUCAGUUGACCGGUACUAAUUGUCCGAUAGGCUUGAUUUGAUCCAG